rnacentral:rRNA from 1 species
AACGAACGCUGGCGGCAUGCCUAACACAUGCAAGUCGAACGAGACCUUCGGGUCUAGUGGCGCACGGGUGCGUAACGCGUGGGAACCUGCCCUUAGGUUCGGAAUAACUCCCCGAAAGGGGUGCUAAUACCGGAUAAUGUCUUCGGACCAAAGAUUUAUCGCCUUUGGAUGGGCCCGCGUUUGAUUAGCUAGUUGGUAGGGUAAAAGCCUACCAAGGCGACGAUCCAUAGCUGGUCUGAGAGGAUGAUCAGCCACACUGGGACUGAGACACGGCCCAGACUCCUACGGGAGGCAGCAGUGGGGAAUAUUGGACAAUGGGCGAAAGCCUGAUCCAGCAAUGCCGCGUGAGUGAUGAAGGCCUUAGGGUUGUAAAGCUCUUUUACCCGGGACGAUAAUGACAGUACCGGGAGAAUAAGCUCCGGCUAACUCCGUG